UGGGGAUGUUGACCGUUUACAAGUUUUCAAACAAGAGGGGGUGGGAUGACCCCCUCAGGACUUCCCUUUUAUCUCAUUUUUUCAUUUGUUUUAUUGUCCCCUACAAGAACAUAUAUGGUUUAGGGGUGGGGAUCUGGACCAUUUACAAGAUAAUAGUACAUUCUCAAAUUGAACGGGGUGGGGGUGACCCCAAGGAACUUCCAUUUAAUUUCAUUUGAUUAGUUUUAUUGUCCCUUACAAGAAUAUAUAUAGUUUAGGGGUGGGGAUGUUGACCGUUUACAAGUUUUCAAACAAGAGGGGGUGGGUGACCCCCUAGGGACUUUCCUUUUAUUUCAUUUCAUUUGUUUUAUUGUCCCCUACAAGAAUAUAUAUGGUUUAGGGGUGGGGAUCUGGACCAUUUACAAGAUAAUAGUACAUUCUCAAAUUGAACGGGGUGGGGUGACCCCCAGGAACUUCCAUUUAAUUUCAUUUGAUUAGUUUUUAUUGUCCCUUACAAGAAUAUAUAUGGUUUAGGGGUGGGGAUGUUGACCAUUUACAAGUUUUCAAACAAGAGGGGGUGGGGUGACCCCUAGGGACUUUCCUUUUAUUUCAUUUCAUUUGUUUUAUUGUCCCCUACAAAGAAUAUAUAUGGUUUAGGGGUGGGGAUCUGGACCGUUUACAAGAUAAUAGCACAUUCUCAAAUUGAACGGGGUGGGGAUGACCCCCGGGGACUUCCAUUUAAUUUCAUUUGAUUUGUUUUAUUGUCCCAUUCAAGAAUAUAUAUGGUUUAGGGGUGGGGAUCUGGACC
rnacentral:lncRNA from 1 species